rnacentral:rRNA from 1 species
UUGCUUUCUCCGCCGCGACCGGCGCACGGGUGAGUAACACGUAUGCAACCUGCCCCUGUCAGGGGGACAACCCGCCGAAAGGCGGGCUAAACCCGCGUACAUGCCACCGGGGCAUCCCGGAGGCAGGAAAGGCUUCGGCCGGACAGGGAUGGGCAUGCGGCGCAUUAGGCAGUAGGCGGGGUAACGGCCCACCUAACCGACGAUGCGUAGGGGUUCUGAGAGGAAGGUCCCCCACACUGGUACUGAGACACGGACCAGACUCCUACGGGAGGCAGCAG